UACGUAGGGUGCGAGCGUUAAUCGGAAUUACUGGGCGUAAAGCGUGCGCAGGCGGCGCGUUAAGACAGGUGUGAAAGCCCCGAGCUUAACUUGGGAAUUGCGCUUGUGACUGGCGUGCUGGAGUGUGGCAGAGGGAGGUGGAAUUCCACGUGUAGCAGUGAAAUGCGUAGAGAUGUGGAGGAACACCGAUGGCGAAGGCAGCCUCCUGGGCCAGCACUGACGCUGAGAAGCGAAAGCAUGGGGAGCGAACAGG
rnacentral:rRNA from 1 species